rnacentral:lncRNA from 1 species
GGUGAUUAUUUGUCUCCUACUUUUGUACUCCAAUGGAAGUGAGUUUAUACUUAUCCAAAUAUAGCUAUGUUGAGCAUUAUCUUUGCCCAGACUCCUUUGGAGUUGGGUGUUUAUCACCUACUGAGUAUAUACCUAUGGAAUGUGAGCAGAGCUCUUUUAAAUCAGAGAUUUCAAAAAUCGGAGAGUCCAUUGUCUACCUGUUCUCUACUUCCUGUGAGACAGAAUGUGGAUGUACCUGCAAUGCCAUUUAACUCAGGCUGAUCAGAAAAGGAGCAAUGAACAAACAAUCCUACCCGACCUCUCCUGUCACAAAACCAGAAAGCCAACCAACCAACCAACCAAACACCCUGGAGGAUGGAGGAUGGCAGAGACACAAAUUGAAGAAAACUGUGUCCUAAAUGGCAACAACCUUCUGAUAUGUAACAUUGGAUUGUUAUGUAACAGGAAAAUAACUUUAUCUUCUUGAGACUGGUGAAUUAGUACUGACACUUCAAUACUAUGCCCUAUCAUUGUCCUAGCUCAUGCAAGGGUACUUCAAUUUUUCCUAUUCUCUGGAAGAGAUUGGUUAAUAUUGUAUUUAUCUAUUUCUUGAAAGUGUCAUAGCACUUGCCUAUAAAAUCAUGGAGACUGAUAUAUUCUUCAGUGGGGGGAAAACCCCCACAGAUUUAAUAGGUACAUGACAAGUUGCUAUCUAUUUUUUUUUCUGAGUCAAUUUUUACAAGUUAUAUUGUCCUAGGAAUUUUUCCAUUUUGUAUGAAUAUUAAACUUUUGUUGGCAAAAGUUUUAAAAAGUAUACAAUGAAUCAAAAUGCAUUCUGUGG